rnacentral:rRNA from 1 species
ACUGGGAUUAGAUACCCCACUAUGCACAGCCCUAAACUCAGAUAGUCCAACACACCCACUCUCCGCCCGGGAACUACGAGCAUUAGCUUAUAACCCAAAGGACUUGACGGCGCUUUACACCCACCUAGAGGAGCCUGUUCUAGAACCGAUAACCCCCGAUAAACCUCACCCUCCCUUGUCAUCCCCGCCUAUAUACCGCCGUCGUCAGCCUACCCUGUGAAGGCCUAGAAGUUAGCAAAAUUAGUACAACUCAAAACGUCAGGUCGAGGUGUAGCACAUGAGAGGGGCUGAAAUGGGCUACACUCCCUUCUUAGGGAAUACGGAGAAUAUACUGAAACGUACAUAUGAAGGAGGAUUUAG